rnacentral:rRNA from 1 species
AUUGAACGCUGGCGGCAUGCUUUACACAUGCAAGUCGAACGGUAACAGGCCUUCGGGUGCUGACGAGUGGCGAACGGGUGAGUAAUGCAUCGGAACGUGCCCAAUCGUGGGGGAUAACGUAGCGAAAGUUACGCUAAUACCGCAUAAGCCCUGAGGGGGAAAGCAGGGGAUCGCAAGACCUUGCGCGAAUGGAGCGGCCGAUGUCAGAUUAGCUAGUUGGUGGGGUAAAGGCCUACCAAGGCGACGAUCUGUAGCGGGUCUGAGAGGAUGAUCCGCCACACUGGGACUGAGACACGGCCCAGACUCCUACGGGAGGCAGCAGUGGGGAAUUUUGGACAAUGGGCGCAAGCCUGAUCCAGCCAUGCCGCGUGCGGGACGAAGGCCUUCGGUUGUAAACCGCUUCUAGCCGGAAAGAAAUACGCCAAGGCUAAUAUACCUUGGUGGAGUGACGGUACCGGAAGAAGAAGACACCGGCUAACUACGUG